rnacentral:ncRNA from 1 species
UGGUGGAGCCGGUGACCCAGACUUGUAGUAGGUAAGCGAUGGGGUGACGCAGGAAGGUAGUCCAGCCCGGGCGGUGGUUGUCCCGGGGUAAGGGUGUAGCCCGUCAUCUAGGCAAAUCCGGAUGACAUGUAAGGGUGAGACCUGAUGCCGAGCCGAUUGUGGUGAAGUGGAUGAUCCUAUGCUGUCGAGAAAAGCCUCUAGCGAGUUUCAUGGCGGCCCGUACCCUAAACCGAC